rnacentral:tRNA from 1 species
GGUAAAGUGGCCGAGAUAAGGCGGCGAGUUGUAGCCUCGAUGACCGGGUGUGCCCCGCACUACCAGGCC